rnacentral:rRNA from 1 species
AUCAUGGCUCAGAACGAACGCUGGCGGCGUGGAUAAGACAUGCAAGUCGAGCGAGAUUUUUUCUUGUAGCAAUACAGGGAAAAGUCUAGCGGCGAACGGGUGCUUAACACGUGGGCAAUCUGCCAAGAAGUGGGGGAUAGCUCGCCGAAAGGCGAAUUGAUACCGCAUGUGAUCAGAGUGGACAUCCAUUCAAAAUCAAAGUCGGGGCAACCUGACGCUUCUUGAGGAGCCCGCGGCCUAUCAGCUAGUUGGUGAGGUAACGGCCCACCAAGGCUUAGACGGGUAGCUGGUCUGAGAGGACGACCAGCCACACUGGGACUGAGACACGGCCCAGACACCUACGGGUGGCAGCAGUCGAGAAUUUUUCUCAAUGGGGGAAACCCUGAAGGAGCGACGCCGCGUGGAGGAUGAAGGUCUUCGGAUUGUAAACUCCUGUCAUUGGGGAACAAUGCGUAAAUAUUAACUGUAUUUGCGUUGAUAGUACCCGAAGAGGAAGAGACGGCUAACUCUGUGCCAGCAGCCGCGGUAAUACAGAGGUCUCAAGCGUUGUUCGGAUUCAUUGGGCGUAAAGGGUGCGUAGGCGGCGCGGUAAGUCGGGUGUGAAAUCUCGGAGCUUAACUCCGAAACUGCAUUCGAUACUGCCGUGCUUGAGGACUGGAGAGGAGACUGGAAUUUACGGUGUAGCGGUGAAAUGCGUAGAUAUCGUAAGGAAGACCAGUGGCGAAGGCGGGUCCCUGGACAGUUCCUGA